rnacentral:rRNA from 1 species
GACGAACGCUGGCGGCGUGGAUUAGGCAUGCAAGUCGAACGGUAUCAUCCUUUCGGGGGUGAGAGAGUGGCGAACUGGUGAGUAACACGUAGGUUAUCUACCCUCAAGACGGGGACAACCCAGGGAAACUUGGGCUAAUACCGGAUGUGAGCAACUUUUAGUUGUUUGAAAGGUGGCGUAAGCUGUCGCUUGGGGAUGAGCCUGCGUCCUAUUAGUUAGUUGGUGAGGUAACGGCCCACCUAGGCAAUGAUAGGUAGGCGGCCUUAACGGGUGGUCGCCCACACUGGGAUUGAGAUACGGCCCAGACUCCUACGGGAGGCAGCAGUCGAGAAUAGUCUACAAUGGUCGGAAGACUGAUAGUGCGACGCCGCGUGAACGAUGAAUCCCUUCGGGGUGUAAAGUUCUUUUAUAUGUGAGCAGUGCUUCUUAUAUUAACAGUAUGGGGAGAGAGAUAUUAGCAUAUGAAUAAGCAACGGCUAACUCCGUGCCAGCAGCCGCGGUAAAAUCACG